GUCAUGACGUUAUAAUGUUUUGUGUCAAUCGUCGAGGAGAUGUUAGGUGAUUAUACAAGAGAAUAUUUGUACACGUCAUUUGAAUUUUCUUUAGACCAAACUUAUAGGCCAAAGAGAGUCUUGAAGCAAAAGCUAAAGUUCUAUAGCUUUCUGUGUCAGAGAUGAAAUACAAGAUUUUAUUUUUUUAAGCUAAAUUGUUAAAGCUAAAUGAAGGAAGGAUUACAAUAUUACAUUUCCAAGCAAUUACUUUUUCAUGACCCGAGCCUACACCCUUGACGUGGCUGGCACUCAAGAACCAUUGUUGGUCCCCAAGAGAACCUUCAUCCUGGCUGACUAUAAGUAGAAGACUAACUCAAGCUUACUAUUCUUAAAACUGAUUAAAAUUAAUUGAACUCAAAUUACAAAGUUUUAACUCAAAUGAUUAACUCUGAAUAUAAUAUUAUAUUCAACUAGCCAAAAAUAGGCAACUCAAGUCUUUAAAACAUUUAGCAAAAUAAAUGAAACACACUUCUCAAACUCUAUUGUCUAUCUAUGAAGCCUUUAAAUGACAAAGAUGAAAAUCAGGACAAGACCCACGACAUCCUAACAAAAUUGAAAGUAACUGGAAUCCUUCGGAAGCAAGGAGGCUCACCAUAGCAAAACUCGAAUUGCAAGUGGUAUCAACGAAGCUUUUCUUGAUGACCCUGAAUACAUGUAUUUGCAUCAUAAAAGAUGCAGGCCAAAUGGCAUCAGUACAUGAAAUAUACUAGCAUGUAAGGGGAAUUCUAAACCAUAAACAUAAGCUUCAACUGAUGGAAAAGAAACAUACUUACCUCUUCUCAAACUCACUCAACUGAACUCAAUCUCUCCUCAAGAAUAGGAUACUCAAAUCAAGGAAACAUAGUUCAAUUCAACUCAGAGAAAUAGGGCUCAACUCAACAAUAAGAUACUCAACUUUGUGAAACAUAGUUCAACUCAACUCAACGAAAUAGGGCUCAACUCAUCAAUGAGAUACUCAACUCAAGAUAAAGCACAGUAAAAGAUGAAAUAUAUGAAAAUCUUUUAAAAUAGAAGAUAGCAGCUCAAUGUAUUGAAGAAUACAAUAAUAACUCAGCUUGUUAAUAAAAUACAAUAUAACUGUUUGGGAGAUUCUCUAACCGACAACCAUCACUAUGAGUUGUGUGAUGAUAUAGUGUUUAGCCCACGCUGCCAGAACUGUCCUAUACUUUGCCGGAGUAUAAGACCUACUAACUAAGUGGAUCCACUAGUUUAUGCUUAAAAGCAAUAAAGAAUCAUCUAAAAAGUAUAACCCUUUCUACGCACGUUGGCUAUAUGGUUUAUAGGGGCUGUGAGUUGUUAGAACUCUCCCCCAUAUCGGUGCUCAAUACUACUCCUAAAAUAUAACUUAGCACAUAUGAUGAAAAACAUUUCUCUUCCUCUUGUUUGAGAUAAUCACUCAAAAGAUUUCUCUAAAAAGAGAUAGUACUCAAAACUCCUCUUAAACUCUUUUGGAAAUCUCAGUUUCCUCCUCUUUUAAAUGUGAAAACAUGUAACACCCCGUAAACUAGUAGGCUUAACUAUAGCUUGUCGUAAGGGUUAGAGUCAUAAAUUUAGCUUUUCGUACUUAGAAUUAAAGGUUUAGGGUCAAAACGUCAAGGUACGACUCCCCAAGGACCAACCAAGGGUCCUUGAGGAGGACAAUAUACAUUUUUCCCUAAAAUCUGCCUAAGACCUUUACCUACGGC
rnacentral:lncRNA from 1 species